CUUCCCCGCCUCUGCGCGCAGCGCGGCUACGCCCGAGGCCCCGCCUCCAGACCACGUGUGCGCCCUGCGCCACGCUUUCCGCCGCUUGAGAGGUUUCGCGCCGGGAGCCGAGUUCCUGGACUGCGGUUCGGCGCUCGGAGCGGGCCUGGCCUGUACCCGGUGGCCGCGGCUGCGUCCUGUCCCCAGCCGGGCCCCAGGCGCCAUGGCGUCCCGCGGGAGGAAGCGGAAGGCCGAGGCGGCGCUGGCCGCAGCGGCCGAGAAGCGGGAGAAGCCGGCCGGCGGCCAGGAUGGGGGAGUGGAGGGGCCGAGCGUCGUCAUCGAGCACUGCACGAGCUGACGCGUCUAUGGGCGCAACGCCGCGGCUCUGAGCCAGGCGCUGCGCCUGCAGGCCCCGGAGCUGGUGGUGAAGGUGAACCCCGCCAGGCCGCGGAGGGGCAGCUUCGAGGUGACGCUGCUGCGCGCCGACGGCAGCAGCGCGGAGCUCUGGACGGGUCUUAAGAAGGGGCCCCCACGCAAACUCAAGUUUCCGGAGCCUCACGUGGUGCUGGAGGAGCUGAAGAAGUACCUUUCGUAGGGAGGUGGGGCAGAAGGCGUCUCGCUGAGAAACACACCCCCUCACUUUCCUGUAACUCCCGCCGAUGCCCUCAUUUGUGUGUGUGUGGAUUCUCCUCUUCUGGCCAAAUCUCUGUGUAGUUUCAGCCUCUGUCCCUGGUGAUGCUGGAGCAUUUAUGACGGGACAUGGUCAAACUUCAGUCAUGUCCCUGAAGCUGUGGUUUCCUUCCCUCCAGAAACAAUGGUUCAGUUGUGAGGCAAUCCUCUAGUAAGACACUGAAAAAUUCUUGGAUUUGGUUUAAUAAAAAUUAAAAGGAUUUGAGUUGAUAUAAA